rnacentral:rRNA from 1 species
UACGUAGGGGGCAAGCGUUGUCCGGAAUCAUUGGGCGUAAAGAGCGUGUAGGCGGCCCGGUAAGUCCGCCGUGAAAGUCCAGGGCUCAACCCUGGAAUGCCGGUGGAAACUGCCGGGCUGGAGUCCGGAAGAGGCGAGUGGAAUUCCUGGUGUAGCGGUGAAAUGCGUAGAUAUCUGCAGGAACACCCGUGGCGAAAGCGGCGCGCUGGACCACUACUGACGCUGAGGAACGAAAGCUAGGGGAGCAAACAGG